AGUCCGAUUUAGCCAUGCUAGUCGCACGAGUUCAGACUCGUGGCAAAUAGCUCAGUAACACGUGGCCAAACUGCCCUACAGAUCGCAAUAACUUCGGGAAACUGAGGCUAAUAGCGAAUACGGCUCUCACGUUGGAGUUGCAGAGAGCCGGAAACGCGUUAGUGCUGUAGGAUGUGGCUGCGGCCGAUUAGGUAGACGGUGGGGUAACGGCCCACCGUGCCGAUAAUCGGUACGGGUCGUGAGAGCGAGAGCCCGGAGACGGAAUCUGAGACAAGAUUCCGGGCCCUACGGGGCGCAGCAGGCGCGAAACCUUUACACUGCACGACAGUGCGAUAAGGGGACUCCGAGUGCGAGGGCAUACAGUCCUCGCUUUUGUACACCGUAAGGUGGUGUACGAACAAGAACUGGGCAAGACCGGUGCCAGCCGCCGCGGUAAUACCGGCAGUUCGAGUGAUGGCCGCUCUUAUUGGGCCUAAAGCGUUCGUAGCCGGCCACGCAAGUUCGUCGGGAAAUCUGCCCGCUUAACGGGCAGGCGUCCGGCGAAAACUGCGUGGCUUGGGACCGGGAGACUCGAGAAGUACGUUCGGGGUAGGAGUGAAAUCCCAUAAUCCUGAACGGACCACCAAUGGGGAAACCACGUUGAGAGACCGGACCCGACAGUGAGGGACGAAAGCCAGGGUCUCGAACCGGAUUAGAUACCCGGGUAGUCCUGGCUGUAAACAAUGCUCGCUAGGUAUGUCACGCGCCAUGAGCACGUGAUGUGCCGUAGUGAAGACGAUAAGCGAGCCGCCUGGGAAGUACGUCCGCAAGGAUGAAACUUAAAGGAAUUGGCGGG
rnacentral:rRNA from 1 species